CAUUACUUACACUUCCCUCAGCCCAUCCAAACAGACCUUUAAGGGCAUAAAAAGUUUGAAAUGUCACCAGCAAAUUUCAUGCACUAAUGGGAAUACAACUGCAAGUGGACUAACUAUGCGCAACCUUGCUUGAAUCCAUUUUACAGAUGGAAUGUUGAAGGUGUAUAGCUUCUUGUUAAAGGGUGAAAAGGAAGUGUCAAUGGUUAACCCCCUACCCCCAAAGUUAAAGGGAAGGAAAGAAGAGAGGGGUCGAAAAAAAUAUUUAUUUAAUUCUAUCAGCAUUUAUUUAUCACAACUAAAUAAUAAAUAUUAAAACAAUAAAAUAAAUAAAUAAUUACAAAAUUCACCUUGUACCAAACAUAACUGUUAUUACUUUCUAUACUCCCAUAUAUGUUAUACCCUAUAACAUUACCCUUGUAACUAUUAACCACCAAUUCUCUAACAUCAAAACAAACACAGCCUUCAAGU
rnacentral:misc_RNA from 1 species